rnacentral:tRNA from 1 species
UGAUAAAGUGGCUGAAAUAGUGAGAAAUUGUAAAUUUUUUUAUAAGGUUUAACCCUUCUUUAUU